GCGGCGGCAGAGCCAGGGGGGCGGCCGGAGCGCACCGGCGGCGUACCGAGGCGCAGCGGGGCGCCGGCGGCCCGCUGGCCCGCGCUUCUGGGGGCCGCCUCCGUGGGGCGGAGAGCUCGGUCCUGCUCGGCAUCGCCUGGGGAGCUGCGGCGUGCCGCGGCCUGUGCCAGCAGCAGGGCACGGUGGAAGAGGUGAUUGAGCCGGGGGCUCCUUUCUGCAUCACGGAACUCUUACGGGCUCCCCCAAUCAAGACCUUGUCAUUCUGUGGAGUCUGUGAGGCACAGACUGUUUGCCUGCACCAAUCCACAAGUAGUGAUGCUGAGAGAAAGAGCAUAUUUCACCCCAAAGCAGCAGCAGCAGCUUGGAUUUCUGGUGGUGAAAGUCCUGAGUUCUGGCCAUGACAAUAAGCUGAGCUGAUUACACACAUAGAGCCAGCUUCAUUACAAUAUGACAAUCCCCUGAUUUUGCAGCUAUGGCAACAUAAGCUACUUCUAUGCUGCACAUGGGAUGCCAGGCCAGGGCAAAGGCUGGCGCCCUUGCUGACCACUGCUGGGGGGCACACCUCAGGAGGUCCCUCUAAGAAGGAGCCUUGCUGAUACCAAUUGCAUUUGCUGCUGCAGAUGCUGAAUGCGUGGUUCUUGGGUUGGGAUUGUCAAGGGCAGAAGUUCUCACCCUGCCAUGCUCCAAAUCUGCUUGCAGAUCUCUGUGAUGGACUGAGGCCUCAGGGCUGAGUGGGCUGCUUGGACCAUAGAGGGAAUCUGUGUUUUGGUGGUGUGCUACAGCCCUGGGGAGGACCUCCAAGUGUUGUCCAAACCUGCUGUGCAGAGAGAUCAAGACAGCUAGUGCAGGAUCCAGUCCAGGGGGGAUGGUGCUCCCAAGCAGCAUGUUUUCCAAGGAGCACCUUAUUGUCUCCUUCCCAGUGUCUUGCUACAGCUCUAGGGGGUGGUCUGAGCACAGGCACAGGCUUGAGUUGGCCGGCAGCCAUUCAACAGACCAUAGCUGUACUACAGGCUAGCCUUUCACAUGGGAUUUACCUCCACUCAUGAUCAGAUGGUCAGGGUAAGUUCUUUAAUAGGUGGUGUAUAAGGCCCCAUGCAUUGAAAGUACACUGAGAAGCUCCAGAGUCUAUAGGACCAUGGUCUUGGCAGAGAUAGCCUAGUAAAAGCUGGAGGGCUGGGACAAGAACUCAUGCUUAGCUGAAUCCCCUUAGAUGUUUCUCUGUCUUAGGUCAGAGCUGUAAUGUUGAAGAUUGGGGAUCUCUAAUGAUCUGGGGCACGUGUGUGGGGACACACCAAGGUUCACUACCAGGGCUCAGAUAUUGUUCCCUGUGUUAAGUGCUGUGGACUAAAUUCUGCCACACUGUGAGGGAAUCUUACCCUGAACAUGAACUGGCAGAUUAUGAUCGUCAUCUCUGGGAGCAGGAUGGUAUCAACCAAAUAUUGAAAGGUUGCUGAAGACACCCAGCUAUUUGCUAAUAGUUUAGAAAUAACUUGAGUGAAAUAACUGGGAGGUGGCCAGGACCUGUGCUUUCUGCAUCUCAUCAGGUGUGUUUGUGUGUGGAGGGAGUUCCCCAAGCACAGUCUGCAGAGGGCCACGCUGCCUGGGUUCAGUUUGGGGUUGGGAGGCUGUGAGCCUGGCAGCACUCAGCAGCCGACCCUGUCCCGCUGCAGGAGUGCAUCGCUGAGCAGAGCAGCUGGGCUUAUUUAAACCUCUCCGAAGUAAACCAUCGGAGAGGCUAUUAAGGAGGUUUGUGGGAAUUGCCCCUUGGGGACUGCGUGUCUUCUGACGUGUCUUCUGACAUGCAGCCAGGCCAAUGCCCCAUCAACUGCUGGAAAACUGAUUUGGUUACUUGUCAAGCAGCUGCAAGGAAAAACUGAACCAAUUUGUGUGUCCUAUUGGACUGUAAAAUGAGAUUUAUUAAGUUUCAUGGAUUUUUUAAUAAAAUCUAAAAUACUUCUGCAA